rnacentral:lncRNA from 1 species
GCUAAAGUCAACAGUCGCUUGGUUUGAGCUCAAAUAAAUGCGGGGAUGCCUCGGCUCGGAGCAGUCGGCCUCCUCCCUCCGCGAGCUGGACGCUCCGCAGCCCGCCCGCCAGCCGGCCCGCCGGCCGCCGCAGAAAAGACAAAACAAAAUAAAACAACAACAAAAAACUCCCAGUGUGUUUCCUACUCUUCUUUGUCUUGGAGGAAAGCAAAGGGAGAGAAAUGGACUUCACCAGUGGUCUUUGGCUUCAUCAAUUCACAGGAAAUGGCAUCAAGAUGGUUCAACUAAGACAUGAUCACUAAAAACAUUAUAAUAAUACCUUUUUGAAAAACUCAGUUUCUCCUGUUUACUAAAUAUUUAUUUCAUCAACAUGGGCUGCGUUCCACUGUGUCAGGAUUCUGCAUGUGGGUGGAGCACUGUUCCAGCCUGAGAAGAUGGUUCUGAGGCCACUUAGCAAGACAUUUUCCAGCAUGAGCAGGUUUCUCUGUGGAAAUAGUGACACCUGUUCUGGUGUGUUGUCUUUCCUCAGGGAACUUAAGGGGUACAAAGCUCCUGAAAAUGUUCUUUAUGCUGGUUGAAGCUCUUAUGUCGCUGUACUGAUUCCCUACGAUGCAGAUUUGAAUCACAGAGUAAUUAAAAUAUGGAUCAAAUAAGGCUGGGGCUCACCAAGGCUGAAAGCUGUAGCCAUUCAAGGCAUCAUUUCUGUCAUGAAAAUAUAGGACCUUUUCAAAACAUGCCUUCAGGAAGGUGUUCUCUUUUCAAACAAAAGUCUAAUGACUGCAUAACUCUUCUUGACCACAUCUUACACUUUCUCUAGACUUGCUUAUUUACAGCUACUGGAACAAAAAGAUGAAAUGAAUAAAGCACACUGAUUGUCCUAAGAGUCUUCUGUGACUAAAAGCACAUGAGCUUCUCCCCAGGCUGAGCUUUGACCCUCCCAAGCAUUUCCCCAAAGGCCAUGACACUGCAUCAGAUUGCUCCUGGACACUUUCCUCAGAGUUUUCAACAAAUAUAAACUGAGGAGUGGAGCACAGCACCAGAUUUGCUAAUCAAGAGGCAAUGGUCCCAGUCCAAAUGGGUGCUGUGUGUGAAUACAGAGCCCAGGAGAAGGGAAGGAGGUCUGUGAACAUCAGGAAUUGCAAAAUCUUGCUGAACCAAUAGACCAACAGCCAUUAACAUUUGUCAAUGCAAAGAUCCUAAAAUAUACAAGUGUGGAGUUGUCCUGCCCUAAGAGCUGAAGCUGUGACAAUCACGCUGCCAUGGUAGAUAUUUAAGCUCCCCUGAGGUUACUGAAUCUAACAAUGAAUAAACAAUGAAGAGUAGCUAAUUUUUGGAAAUCUCUUUCUAUGACCGGAAAAUAUUCACAAACUCAGAGUGAUUGUUUGGGGUGAAAGAUGGUCCCAUGCCUUGUGGGCCUCUCUUUGCUAUCUAUACAACGUUGGAAAUGAACCCCUCCCUUACAGGAAAGUGAACAGCAACCAAGGUGAGCCCACCCUGGGAGGGCAGAGUGGGUGUACUUUCCUCGAAGAGCCCUGAACACAACAGGGCACACAAACAGCCACAGCACCCUCAACAAUGCCCCACCAUCUGCCCACCAGGGCACACAGAUUCACGCAGAUUCAGUGACACAUUCCAAAAAAAGGGAAUUAAGGAGGACCCAUGGCAUGGCUAAUGGGGAGAGAGCUUUACUACUUUUAGCACCAUUGCUAAUUAUUGGAGCAAAGAAAGGCAUACAAGGAAUGGAACCCAACCUGUUUAAAGUAAUAAAUGUCAACCCUAAAGUGCAUGGAACCAUCUCUCCUUCCCUUUUGAGGACUGUGUGCUUCACAAGCUGGGCGUUUGCUGCAUGGGGUUUUCUAAUGUAAUGUGAAUUUUCAAUGUGCUUUGUCUCUGUAGAGUGGCUUUAAAAAGCCCUUGAAGUCCUCAGCUUUAAAUCCAUGCUAAUAGGGGAAGUCUUUUUUUUUUUUUUUUGGAGGUGAGGAGCUUUGGUUGGGAGAAACAUUGACCCAGACUGCACUCUGGGUAAACUAGGGCAAAAGACCUGAUAUCGUCUGCAGGGUACUUAUUAACCACUGUUCAUUUGCAGGAUCAAUAUUUCCAGCAAAGGAGUCCACACUCAAGAUACACUGCUACGUCUCACUUUUUCCUUGACACAACAAUUUAUUUUAUAAAUGCAUCUGCUGGAGAAGAAAAGGCAGUACCAAGGAUUGUGUCUUUUAUCUCCAGGAUAUGCAAAGCGCAUUUAUUUUCAGCUUUUAUCUCUGGAAUUGUAUGUUGAUCCCAUACAUAUAGAUUGAUUUUGUUCAGGUAGAUAAUGAAAAGUCAAGUGGAAAAUUACACAAUGGCAUUCACGAUCCUAGUCUUAUAUCAGUAUAUAAAUUGGUUUAUUAUUUCAUUCUAUUAAAGAGGCUUUUUUUUGGUACCAGGAAAACUUCAAAAUGCAUUGUGUUGUCAGCCUCACUGAAUUUUCUUUUGGAGGAGGAGGUAGGGAGGGGAAGCCAAAGCCCCGAUUUCUCCUGCUCCUUUUGCUAAUUGUAUUGGCUAAAUGAGCUUUCACAGAGGGGGGUCCUGGCUGCUUUUUGCUCUCCCCCAGACCACUUGUAGGUUGCACACAGGGCUUCUAUAACUCUUUCUGAGUCAGGACAAAGAUAUCCGCCGUGCACACCCUGUGACAUAGGUGGAUAUUUAUUUCAUCCCGGGCAAUUCUAAAUUUUGUCAUGAUGACUGAAAGAGGCAAUCCCCUCCUGAGCAUUAAGAGGCCAGGGGUGAGAGGGUGGCAGCAUAGAAAAGCCACCACCCAGAGACAGCUUGGAGCCAUGAUCCUGGAGGAAAUGUUAUUAAUAAACAUCUUUUGGACAUUUGGUAGCCCGUGGAGCUUGCUCCAGCUUAAAGCAAUUAAUUCAGGACACUGACAUAAACUCUCCAGAUCUUUGACAGCUUGGAGCCGAAAUAAAAAUGCUAGUUCUCCGGGGAAGAGAAGAGGAUGGCUAGCCCUUUUCUGGACUGUUUGCUUAUAGGCCCAGAGAGCAACCUUCCUUGCAGAAUGAAAUGCAAGGGCACAAACAAUGUACCAGGGAGAGAAUAGAAGAUGGGAAUGAACAGUUUGAACUAUUUGCUCAGCAGAAGGGCACCACAAUGCUGGGGUAGUGGUUUUCCCAUGCGUCCACUGUCCCUUCUUUGGGAUCUUUUGUUGUCCCCUGUCUCCUUUGGCCAGAUAAAAGCACAGCUGCAGCAUUGCAGAUAACAAGUAGGCCGUACUUAUCCCCCUAAAUCUCGGGGUGCCUUUACUGUAACAAGUUAUGCUCGGCUCUCUUUUAUUUUACAAGAGGAUGGUGAGGGAGAGAAUGGAAGAACAGAGGGGGCGGACGUAUAAGACAUUUGACACUGCCUAUGUCUGAUUUCUCUUUCUUUCUUUCUUUCUUUCUUUCUUUCUUUCUUUCUUUCUUUCCUUUCUUUCUUUCUUGCAAGCUGUGAUCGGAUGCAAUCUUUGUGGGACAUUUAAAUGGAAGGGUUCAUUGAUGUGUAUUGCUUGCCAAGCCAAAAUGUUGCCUUUGGGGAAAAGGGAGAGAGGUGUUCAUGGAGUGCAGGGAAAGGAGGUUUUGGGGCAGAGAUUUUGACUUAAAAUAACCAGACUUCUUCUGGCUGCUGAAAAGAGGCAAAAGUUUUAAAUUGUCAAGUUUAAAACUAUGUUCAGUUAUGAUUUGCCACUUCUGAAUAUUAUUUUGGAUUUCCCCUUUCAUGCUUAUUUUGUUCAGAAUCCUAAUGAAUAGAGGUUGCUGGACUCAGGGUAAAAGCAGGAUGAACUGGAGAUGGGACAUACAAGGUACUUUUGGAAUUGCCAUAGAUUACACCUAUAAUCAGAGUAAAUGUCAUCAACAAAUAAUCAAAAUAUUUUUUACAUUUGCUCUUCUAAAAUCAGAGCCUAUUUUAAAUAUAAAAGAAAGUAGAUGUGAUAAUAAUAUAAACUACAGUCACAUUAAGUUGAUAUUAAAUUCAAAAUCUAACAUAGAUUUGCACUGUUGGGUGUGUGUUCCGAAUCAGUGGGUUUUCCCACUGAUGUUGAUUUCGGGAGCCAGGCUUCAAUGUUUAAUUCUAUUGUAAUGUGGUUAUUUAGCCUGAAUGGUUUUAUAAGGUGGAAAGGCAAAAAAUUUAAUUCCGAAGAAAACUAGUGUUUUACUAUGACUGUGGUAAACAUUUCCAAAGCCCACCUGUGGGAAAUACAAAGUUUUAAUGCUGUGUGUUUUUUUGUUUUUGUAUUUUGUCUCAUCGACAAAACUGGCAGAAAAAAACGCUUUCGUAUAUUUUUCCUGCUGGGUGGUCAGAAGGAAAGGCCGUGAAGCUAAAGGUCUCCCACUGAGACGCUGUUCUGCAAGGAGCCGACCUCACGUGCCGCCGCCGCCAGAGAAGAGAGCACCUGUUCAUCUCGGCUCACUGUGAGGCUGAGCUCAGCGCUGGCAGGCGAGGGGCCGCAAGCAUCCCCCACAGCCACCGAGAGGGCAUCCCUGCAGGGAAAUCAUAUCCGACAUGCCUGUGCCCACAGCAGACUUAAGACUGCCUCUAAAAUGUCCAUGAAGCCAUUGUCCAGUAGAGCUGUUAGUUUUAACACCAGUGAGUAUUACCUUUGGUUAAAAGGAUGCAUGUGUAUAGGUGUAUGUGUGUGCGUGUGUGUUUGUGUUUUUGGACUUGUGUGGAGAAUGAAGAAAGGGUUCCAUUUAGGCAUUUGCAAAUAUUCGAUGGCAUCAUGAAAAGACAAAAAAAUCCUAUAAAAUAUAUCAUAUUUUGCUAUGAUUUUGUGUGUACAUGUAAUAAAAUUAUUAAGUAUAAA